GACAGAGGUGCCGAGCGUUAGGCGGAAUCACUGGGCUUAAAGCGUGUGUAGGCGGACCGUUAAGUGUCUUGUGAAAUCCCACGGCUCAACCGUGGAACGGCUGGGCAUACUGGCGGUCUUGAGCGGUCCAGGGGCGAGCGGAACAAGCGGUGGAGCGGUGAAAUGCGUAGAUAUCGCUUGGAACGCCGACGGUGAAAACAGCUCGCUGGGGACCCGCUGACGCUGAGACGACGAAAGCCAGGGGAGCGAACGGG
rnacentral:rRNA from 1 species